GCAAGUCGAACGAGAAGCCAUCCUUCGGGGUGGUGGAAAGUGGCGCACGGGUGAGUAACACGUGGGAACCUACCCUUUGGUUGGGAAUAACCGCGGGAAACUGCGGCUAAUACCGAAUAAGCCCUACGGGGGAAAGAUUUAUCACCGAAGGAUGGGCCCGCGCCGGAUUAGCUUGUUGGUAGGGUAACGGCCUACCAAGGCUACGAUCCGUAGCUGGUCUGAGAGGAUGGUCAGCCACACUGGGACUGAGACACGGCCCAGACUCCUACGGGAGGCAGCAGUGGGGAAUAUUGGACAAUGGGCGCAAGCCUGAUCCAGCCAUGCCGCGUGAGUGAAGAAGGCCCUAGGGUUGUAAAGCUCUUUCACCGGGGAAGAUAAUGACGGUACCCGGAAAAGAAGCCCCGGCUAACUCCGUGCCAGCAGCCGCGGUAAUACGGAGGGGGCUAGCGUUGUUCGGAAUUACUGGGCGUAAAGAGCGCGUAGGCGGUUUGCAUAGUUGGGGGUGAAAUCCCGGGGCUCAACUCCGGAACUGCCCUCAAAACUGGCAGGCUAGAGUGUGGGAGAGGAGAGUGGAAUUCCCAGUGUAGAGGUGAAAUUCGUAGAUAUUGGGAAGAACACCAGUGGCGAAGGCGGCUCUCUGGACCACAACUGACGCUGAGGCGCGAAAGCGUGGGGGAGCAAACAGGAUUAGAUACCCUGGUAGUCCACGCCGUAAACGAUGAGUGCUAGACGUUGGGGGGCUUGCCUUUCAGUGUCGGAGUUAACGCAUUAAGCACUCCGCCUGGGGAGUACGACCGCAAGGUUAAAACUCAAAGGAAUUGACGGGGGCCCGCACAAGCGGUGGAGCAUGUGUUUAAUUCGACGCAACGCGAAGAACCUUACCAGCUUUUGACAUGCUGGUUUCGGGUUUGAGAGAUCAGACCCUUCAGUUCGGCUGGCCCAGCACAGGUGCUGCAUGACUGUCGUCAGCUCGUGUCGUGAGAUGUCGGGUCAGUCCCGCACGAGCGCAUCUCUUUUUCAGUGCAGCGUCGCGGGCACUCUGAAUACGCGUGACAGCGAGAAGCGGGAUGACGUCAGUCCUCAUGCCUAAGCUGCUACACACUGCUACAUGGCGGGAACGUGUAUGCAGGGGCGACCCGGACAAUCCAACCGCUCACUCUGAUGUUUCUUGCCAUCGACAGGGGAUGAAAUGCCAGUAUCGGGGGGAU
rnacentral:rRNA from 1 species